rnacentral:rRNA from 1 species
UACGUAGGGGGCAAGCGUUGUCCGGAAUCAUUGGGCGUAAAGCGCGUGUAGGCGGCCCGGUAAGUCCGCUGUGAAAGUCGGGGGCUCAACCCUCGAAUGCCGGUGGAUACUGUCGGGCUAGAGUGCGGAAGAGGCGAGUGGAAUUCCUGGUGUAGCGGUGAAAUGCGCGGAUAUCAGGAGGAACACCAAUUGCGAAGGCAGCUCGCUGGGACGUGACUGACGCUGAGACGCGAAAGCGUGGGGAGCAAACAGG